rnacentral:rRNA from 1 species
AUUGAACGCUGGCGGCAUGCCUUACACAUGCAAGUCGAACGGUAACGCGGGGCAACCUGGCGACGAGUGGCGAACGGGUGAGUAAUGCAUCGGAACGUGCCCAGUAGUGGGGGGAUAGCCCGGCGAAAGCCGGAUUAAUACCGCAUACGACCUACGGGUGAAAGCGGGGGACCGUAAGGCCUCGCGCUAUUGGAGCGGCCGAUGUCAGAUUAGGUAGUUGGUGGGGUAAAGGCCUACCAAGCCUACGAUCUGUAGCUGGUCUGAGAGGACGACCAGCCACACUGGGACUGAGACACGGCCCAGACUCCUACGGGAGGCAGCAGUGGGGAAUUUGGACAAUGGGCGCAAGCCUGAUCCAGCCAUUCCGCGUGCAGGAUGAAGGCCUUCGGGUUGUAAACUGCUUUUGUACGGAACGAAACGGCGAGCUCUAAUACAGUUUGCUAAUGACGGUACCGUAAGAAUAAGCACCGGCUAACUACGUG